rnacentral:Y_RNA from 1 species
GGCUGGUCUGCAGGCAGUGAGUUACCUCAUCUGACUGUUCACAAGUCAGUGAUAGAUUAAACUAAUUGAACUCGAUAUUCUAACUUUCCUCCUUUCUCACAAUUGCACUUGCCUAGUCUUUA